rnacentral:rRNA from 1 species
ACUCCUACGGGAGGCAGCAGUGGGGAAUAUUGGACAAUGGGGCAACCCGUGAUCCAGCCAUGCCGCGUGAGUGAAGAAGGCCCUAGGGUUCGUAAAGCUCUUUCAACUUGUGAAGAUAAUGACGGUAGCAGUAGAAGAAACCCCGGCUAACUCCGUGCCAGCAGCCGCGGUAAUACGGAGGGGUUAGCGUUGUUCGGAAUUACUGGGCGUAAAGCGCACGUAGGCGGACUAUUAAGUUAGAGGGUGAAAUCCCAGGGCUCAACCCUGGAACUGCCUUUAAUACUGGUAGUCUUGAGUUCGAGAGAGGUGAGUGGAAUUCCGAGUGUAGAGGUGAAAUUCGUAGAGUAUUCGGAGGAACACCAGUGGCGAAGGCGGCUCACUGGCUCGAUACUGACGCUGAGG